UGAACGCUGGCGGCGUGCCUAAUACAUGCAAGUCGAGCGAACGGACGAGAGGCUUGCUUCUCUGAUGUUAGCGGCGGACGGGUGAGUAACACGUGGAUAACCUACCUAUAAGACUGGGAUAACUUCGGGAAACCGGAGCUAAUACCGGAUAAUAUUUUGAACCGCAUGGUUCAAAAGUGAAAGACGGUCUUGCUGUCACUUAUAGAUGGAUCCGCGCUGCAUUAGCUAGUUGGUAAGGUAACGGCUUACCAAGGCAACGAUGCAUAGCCGACCUGAGAGGGUGAUCGGCCACACUGGAACUGAGACACGGUCCAGACUCCUACGGGAGGCAGCAGUAGGGAAUCUUCCGCAAAGGGCGAAAGCCUGACGGAGCAACGCCGCGUGAGUGAUGAAGGUCUUCGGAUCGUAAAACUCUGUUAUUAGGGAAGAACAUAUGUGUAAGUAACUGUGCACAUCUUGACGGUACCUAAUCAGAAAGCCACGGCUAACUACGUG
rnacentral:rRNA from 1 species